GCAUGAGUAUCUGCGCACUCUUCAGUCCGCGUGUGCAAAAGAACAGAACGAUGGGCCAGGGAGUCAUAGCAAAACUUCCACUACUUGCCAAAAUGCAUUUCUCAAGCUAUCACACCAGUUUGGCAAAGAUGCUUUAGGUUUAAUUGAUUUUUCCUUUGAAGACUACUUAUUUUUGGUUUUCCCCCCUCUAAUUGAUAGAGAGUAGCAGCUGUAGUUUUUAGGACUGUUAAUGAGCCGAAAUUGCAAUUAAUUGAAAAGUUGGAGUUAGUAGCUAUGGAGUCUCUGUUUCUUGGAUCUUUUCCUACUUUUGGUGGGAAUUGUUGUCGGAGGAGUAACAGUUUCAAAGUGGUACAUUCUCCAAGUCCUAUAGCAGCAUUUGAAGUUUCCAGGUGCAGAGCAUGGACCAUCCUAGAAAGACAUAAUGUUGUGAAAUCUCAGCAUCAUUAUGUGAAACAUCAUCUUAGACAUAGUGCAGAAAGAUCUACCAUUUACAGGAAAAAUGAUGCCAGUUUCUUGGCACAUGCUGCCUCUGAACAGCCUCUUCAAUCCGAGCCUGAAGCUUAUAUUCCGAAGAAAACUUCAAUACCAAUUCUCGAUUCAUUAGAUGCUUUUUACAGAUUUUCACGUCCUCACACUGUUAUAGGCACAGCUCUCAGCAUCAUAUCAGUUUCUCUCCUUGCAAUCCAGAAACUCUCAGAUCUUUCUCCAUUAUUCUUAACAGGGGUGUUGGAGGCUGUGGCUGCUGCUCUCAUGAUGAACAUCUAUAUUGUUGGUUUAAAUCAGUUAACUGACAUUGAAAUAGACAAGGUUAACAAGCCAUAUCUUCCAUUGGCAUCCGGAGAGUAUUCCGUGGGCAUGGGUGUCAUGAUUGUUACAUCUUUCUCCAUAAUGAGUUUUUGGCUUGGAUGGAUUGUUGGUUCAUGGCCAUUGUUUUGGGCUCUUUUUAUCAGUUUUAUCCUUGGAACGGCAUAUUCAGUCAAUUUGCCACUAUUCAGAUGGAAAAGAUUUGCAUUUGUUGCAGCAAUGUGCAUCUUAGCUGUUCGGGCAGUGAUUGUUCAACUCGCCUUUUAUCUCCAUAUGCAGAUCCAUGUGUAUAGAAGACCUGCUGUCUUUUCCAGGCCUCUAAUUUUUGCUACUGCAUUUAUGAGCUUCUUCUCAGUUGUUAUAGCAUUAUUCAAGGAUAUACCUGAUAUUGAAGGUGAUAAGAUAUUUGGUAUCCGAUCCUUUACUGUGCGCUUGGGCCAGGAGCGGGUUUUCUGGAUUUGUAUUUCUCUGCUUGAAAUUGCUUAUGGUGUUGCUAUUUUAGUUGGAGCAGCAUCUUCUUACACCUGGAGCAAGUGUAUCACGGGUUUGAAAUAUUUAAAAGAAAAGUAGUAAAAAGUCCAAAAUCCUUGAUGAAUUUUGCAAGUAUAGGUUCUGGGGCAUGUCAUCUUGGCUUCGAUGCUGUGGAACCGUGCCAAAUCUGUUGAUCUUAAGAGCAAAGCUGCAAUAACUUCCUGCUACAUGUUCAUUUGGAAGCUAUUUUAUGCCGAAUAUUUGCUCAUACCGCUAGUACGAUGAGAAUGCAGAGAGCAUUGUGGAGACUGAAGAAUGCUAUCAGUUAGAAGAAAGAAAAAGAAGAUAUAUUCUUCUGCUGAUAUAUUGAAGCUUAAUGAAGGGGAGCCCUCUGAAGCAAAAAGGCAGGUUCCCUUGCAAUUAGAAUGAUCAGGAAAAACAUUGCCAGAAAAAAAAAAUAUUGUUCGACAUUCAUUACUCUCAACACAUAGCUUGAUCAGGGAAAAGAUUGCCUAAAAGAAUUGUAAUUACCAUUAUAAUGGUAUUAUAUUGGGAACUUUUCCAUAAUCCCCUAAAAUCAACCAAAAAGAAUUUUAGUUUA